CCCCAGUGUUGCUGUGCU
rnacentral:miRNA from 1 species